GGCCCGGGCGUCAGCCCACCACACUCUGAGGACUGCAGCACAGUAGCUGUUUGACAUCGACUGCGGGCGCCUGAGCAGCAUUCCCACGGCUGUCUUCGAGAUCCACGGCAAGAAGUACCCCCUGCCACCCUCCGCCUAUACCAGCCAGGACCAGGGCUUCUGCACCAGUGGUUUCCAGGGUGACUAUAGUUCCCAGCAGUGGAUCCUGGGGAAUGUCUUCAUCUGGGAGUAUUACAGUGUCUUUGACAGGACCAAUAACCGUGUGGGGCUGGCGAAGGCUGUCUGAUUGCAUCACUGGCCAUGGACCUCAAUGUGACCAAACACACACACGCACAUAGAUGAGAUGUGCAGGCAGA
rnacentral:lncRNA from 1 species